UUUUUUUUUUAAGAUGGAGUCUAGCUCUGUGGCCCGGGCUAGAGUGCAGUGGCGCAAUCUCGACUCACUGCAAGCUCCGCCUCCCGGGUUCACGCCAUUCUCCUGCCUCAGCCUCCCGAGUAGCUGGGAUUACAGGCACCCGCCACCACGCCCGGCUAAUUGUUUUGUAUUUUUUUCAGUAGAGACAGGGUUUCACCGUGUUAGCCAGGAUGGUCUCAUCUAUUGACCUCGUGAUCCGCCCGCCUUGGCCUCCCAAAGUGCUGAGAUUACAGGCAUGAGCCACCGCGCCCGGCCUGUAGUGGCGUCUUUUAUAACCCAGUCAUGGAGUAACCGCCAUCAGUUCUGUCAUGUUCUGUUGUUCACUCAGAUCCACUUUGCUACAAUGUGAGAAGUGACUAUAGAAUAUGAAUCCCAGGAGACAGGGAUCACUGGGGUUCAUCUCAGAGACUGCCUACCCCAGAACUCAAAAAGAAUAUCUUUGCUUUGUAUGAAAGGAGUGUGAAAGGGGAGAAAGCUGAGAGAGACGCUGGCCAGUGGCCCCAGUUUUCUCAGUGAAGUGGAAAGUAAAGUGAUGCCCUGAAGGUGUAAUGAAGCAGAAAUGAGGACACUGGAUGAUUGGUGUGAUCCAGGAUAGGGCUUUUGUUAAAAGGAUGUGGACCAGGCAGAAACAGCCAGGAUAGUCCUAAAAAAUAUUGGGGAAAUGAUUGAGGUAAUGUAUCGUGGAGCUGGAAGGAAGGACUUGAAAUCCAAAGAAGCUGAAAGAUGGUGAGAAAAUGGACAGCUGGAGGAACUGAAGGUUUUGAUAUGGUUGAAGUGAAGGUGAAAUUAGAGGAGAGAAGAAGGGCUGGGAGGCAGUAGGUGGUGAUUUUGGAGUCAAAACAUUCCAUAUAAUGGGUGCAGGAAAAUGUUUCAGGAAAACGUGUUUAAAGUAAACUAGGUUUAUAAAAACCAAAAUCUGUAUCUUCCAUACAAAAUGGAAUUACGCAAUUUUUAUGUGUCCAUAAAUGUGUUCCAUGGGUGAUAAAAUCAAUAAAAGUACACUUUCUUCCACU
rnacentral:lncRNA from 10 species